UGUGAAGCUUUCUUUGCCUGUUACCAGAGAAAGCGAAAGAGCUACCAAGUCUUAGGGCACAUGGACAGAACCAGAAGAUGCCCAGUGAAGUGCUAGGAUAGGGUACAGUCCCAUAGCUUUUGGGCCAAAUGAGAAGGAAAAGCAGAACCUGGGACCAGGAAAGCCCCAGCAGCUCCAGACUCCAGGACUCUUUACCAAGACUGAUGGGAGGAACUAAGGCAAAGAUGAGACACCUGUCACCAAGACACCUGUCUUGGCUGCUUCCACUUCUGACUCAGUUGUGUUGGUGUGAAUGCAAAACUGGCUCUCUGGCUCCCAAGAAUGUAUAAAUCCAGGACAGAAAACCAAGCAUUUGGGCACCAGGCAAGAGGUCUUUCCAGAUUCCCCAAACAGACUUUUCAGAAUUCCCCAAAGAUACUGAAACUCAGACCCAUUCUGACCCCACCCCAAAAAGUAUCAUAAAUGGAAUCUGGGAGCCAUUCAGAGUCUCCAGCCUCCUCUUUGGUGAAAAUGGACUUGGACCUAAAAAGGCACCCCAUUGUCCACAAGGACACAAAUUCAGAUGCUGAGCACUGGCCUCCUGCCUUCCGAUGACGGAUCUUACCUGAGUCCCAUCAAAGCCCAUACUGUUCCCCAACCUCCACCAUCCAGACAUUAGGAACAAUCCCUCAGAACUGUCUUGAUGAGAUGGGACAAGCAGUGGUAGAGGUCCAGAUUCAGAAUGGUUGCCUCAUCUUUCCCUUCUGAGAAGUCUAUACCUGCUGGUCUGAGCCUUCAUCCCUUACAUGGCUUAGCCCAUGUCCCAGGAAGUGCCCCCUAAAAGAACCUUCUAGUAUUUUUCUCCCCUGAAGAGAGGGUCCAUGAGACACUCUAUGCCAGGAAAUACAUGACCUCCAUUCUCACAUGACUUGAUUGACUGAUAAACUGAUACCCUGAGAAAGAAAAAGAUGCAGGGAACAUCUUGUGUGUGGUGAAUCUGUGCUCCUCAGCUGUGGUGCCUGUGCAAAUGGUGGAACCCAAAAGAAUAUUGGGUGGUAGACACACAGACCCUACCUAAUAAAAUUAUGUAAGUUUAGGUUUAAUAUAGAUGGAACUUAUAAUGUCAUAUAAAAUGUUGUUACUUAUUUUGUAAGAAAGCUGAGUUAGAUUUUGUAAAGGCAUUAAAUAUAAUUUUAAUGGGAAGCUAUGAAAAUUGUGUGCAUUUGGUGUGUAAAUGACUCAUUUUGGGUAAUUCUGUAAAGGCCACCUAUGAAUGUGAGUCAUUAGUAACCAAAUCUCCUAUAGAUAGCAUAUUGCAUAUUCAUUUUAAUGUAUUCUUUUACCUGAGCUCAAUUUUUCUUAAUUUUAUUCAUCAAAUUUUAUACGCUUUAGAUAAAAGACACCUUGUAGUUACCAUGUGCUCUAUGGAUCUCUAUUUUGUUAGAAAUACAGAUUUUCAGGCAAAACCCAAGUAUAUCGUAUCAAAAUCAGGUUUUUAAAUAAUAUUCCCAGGUGAUUCACAUGCAUAUUAAUAAUUGUUAAGUGGGGGUAAUUCUAUAAUUAAAAGGGAAAAGGUUAUAUGAGUGUAUUUAUUUGUUAAAAAGGUACAGAAAAGAUUGUAUGUUUCAAUGUAUAUACAUCUUAUCUCAUAGAAAAUAACUAAAAACAAUAAUAAAGUGGGGAUGGGGAAUGAGUUGAAGUAGAAGUUAAACAGAAAUGGCACAUAAUUAGUAGAUGUUUAGGCUGAGCAUCAGUCUAUUAUACUACAUUGCUUAUUGCAUAUAUGUUUAAAAUAUUCUCUAAUAAAAUAAUUGUAUAAAAAGACAAACUUUAUCUACAACAUUAGCUCUUAAGAUUGUGGUUACUUUUGGAGGGGAGGAAAAGAGAAAGUGGUUUGUGUGGCAGAAACAAGGCUAGUUCUAUCCUAUGCCUACACAAAUGUAUUUGUUUGUAAUAAUUUACUGAGCAUUAUGUUAAUGCUUUGGACAUAUAUUUCUGUAUGCAUGUCAUUCAAUAAAAUUUAAAUAUUACAUAUUUAAUCUUAACAGAAU
rnacentral:lncRNA from 1 species